rnacentral:misc_RNA from 1 species
AACGCACAUUGCGCCCUCUGGUAUUCCGGGGGGCAUGCCUGUUCGAGCGUCAUUACAACCCUCAAGCCCUGCUUGGUAUUAGGCGUCACCUGCUUGGUGCGCCCCAAAACUAGUGGCGGUGCCAUCUGGCUUCAAGCGUAGUAAUUUUCUCGCUCUGGAGUUUUGGUGUGUGCUUGCCAGCAACCCCCAAUUUAUCAAAGGUUGACCUCGGAUCAGGUAGGGAUACCCGCUGAACUUAA